rnacentral:rRNA from 1 species
GAUGAACGCUGGCGGCGUGCCUAAUACAUGCAAGUCGAGCGAAUGGAUUAAGAGCUUGCUCUUAUGAAGUUAGCGGCGGACGGGUGAGUAACACGUGGGUAACCUGCCCAUAAGACUGGGAUAACUCCGGGAAACCGGGGCUAAUACCGGAUAACAUUUUGAACCGCAUGGUUCGAAAUUGAAAGGCGGCUUCGGCUGUCACUUAUGGAUGGACCCGCGUCGCAUUAGCUAGUUGGUGAGGUAACGGCUCACCAAGGCAACGAUGCGUAGCCGACCGGAGGGGGUGAUCGGCCACGCUGGGACCGAGACACGGCCCAGACUCCUACGGGAGGCAGCAGGAGGGAAUCUUCCGCAAUGGACGAAAGUCUGACGGAGGAACGCCGCGUGAGUGAUGAAGGCUUUCGGGUCGUAAAACUCUGUUGUUAGGGAAGAACAAGUGCUAGUUGAAUAAGCUGGCACCCUGACGGUACCUAACCAGAAGGCCACGGCUAACUACGCGCCAGCCGCCGCAGUAA